AUGGAUCAGCACUAUUACGUUUGGUCGGGUAAACAGGGAGAGCUGGAAAAAUGCUUAUCAGCAAGGUAACCUGUUGCCUUCCUCUGGAGACAUGAGAGAAAAUGAAAGCCAAUUGUUGAUCUUUGCCAAAUAUACCAAACUCGACAGAAGGAUACAUCAGAUUCCUCGUACUGUGACACCGUUCCUCAUCCAAUGCCCAGUUUUCAUUCUCAUCACAGGACAACACCUCUGAACUGCAGAAGUGACUGAUGGCAAUCUGCUGAAGUCAGUGAGUCAGGGGACAUGCUCACCUCUAAACAAGUGGCAUUUCCAUCAUUCUGUGAAAAAAUAUUACUUAUGUGAGGCUUGGGAGGGUUCUUUAACUCACCUGUCUCUGCACUAAUAGCUUCAUCUGGCUGAAGCGGUGCAUCAGCACUGGAAGCUGUGCCAACCUCAAAUGCUUUCUUCUG